GACGAACGCUGGCGGCGUGCUUAGCACAUGCAAGUCGAACGGAAAGGCCCUGCUUUUGUGGGGUGCUCGAGUGGCGAACGGGUGAGUAACACGUGAGUAACCUGCCCUUGACUUUGGGAUAACUUCAGGAAACUGGGGCUAAUACCGGAUAGGAGCUCCUGCUGCAUGGUGGGGGUUGGAAAGUUUCGGCGGUUGGGGAUGGACUCGCGGCUUAUCAGCUUGUUGGUGGGGUAGUGGCUUACCAAGGCUUUGACGGGUAGCCGGCCUGAGAGGGUGACCGGCCACAUUGGGACUGAGAUACGGCCCAGACUCCUACGGGAGGCAGCAGUGGGGAAUAUUGCACAAUGGGCGGAAGCCUGAUGCAGCAACGCCGCGUGCGGGAUGACGGCCUUCGGGUUGUAAACCGCUUUCGCCUGUGACGAAGCGUGAGUGACAGUAAUGGGUAAAGAAGCACCGGCUAACUACGUGCCAGCAGCCGCGGUGAUACGUAGGGUGCGAGCGUUGUCCGGAUUUAUUGGGCGUAAAGGGCUCGUAGGUGGUUGAUCGCGUCGGAAGUGUAAUCUUGGGGCUUAACCCUGAGCGUGCUUUCGAUACGGGUUGACUUGAGGAAGGUAGGGGAGAAUGGAAUUCCUGGUGGAGCGGUGGAAUGCGCAGAUAUCAGGAGGAACACCAGUGGCGAAGGCGGUUCUCUGGGCCUUUCCUGACGCUGAGGAGCGAAAGCGUGGGGAGCGAACAGGCUUAGAUACCCUGGUAGUCCACGCUGUAAACGGUGGGUACUAGGUGUGGGGUCCAUUCCACGGGUUCCGUGCCGUAGCUAACGCUUUAAGUACCCCGCCUGGGGAGUACGGCCGCAAGGCUAAAACUCAAAGGAAUUGACGGGGCCCCGCACAAGCGGCGGAGCAUGCGGAUUAAUUCGAUGCAACGCGUAGAACCUUACCUGGGUUUGACAUGGAUCGGGAGUGCUCAGAGAUGGGUGUGCCUCUUUUGGGGUCGGUUCACAGGUGGUGCAUGGCUGUCGUCAGCUCGUGUCGUGAGAUGUUGGGUUAAGUCCCGCAACGAGCGCAACCCUUGUUCACUGUUGCCAGCACGUUAUGGUGGGGACUCAGUGGAGACCGCCGGGGUCAACUCGGAGGAAGGUGGGGAUGACGUCAAGUCAUCAUGCCCCUUAUGUCCAGGGCUUCACGCAUGCUACAAUGGCUGGUACAGAGAGUGGCGAGCCUGUGAGGGUGAGCGAAUCUCGGAAAGCCGGUCUCAGUUCGGAUUGGGGUCUGCAACUCGACCUCAUGAAGUCGGAGUCGCUAGUAAUCGCAGAUCAGCAACGCUGCGGUGAAUACGUUCCCGGGGCU
rnacentral:rRNA from 1 species